UUUAUUUUGUGUGAAAUAAUUUGGAAUAGAAAUUACAUGUAAUGGUUGUUUAGGUUUGUUUCAUUGUGUGUGUACUUUACGUUGUUUUGUUUCUUUAGGUGCGCGACAUGAUUCCAUCGGCGUUAUUGGUGGCGGUGGUAUUUCUGUCGUGUUGCUACAUUGUGCGAUUUUUUUUGCAAAGUCCAUGUAAUGCAACGGCAGAGUGUGCAAAUAAUACCACAGUUUGUGAACAUGAUUUCUGUCAUAUACAGGCCGAUCAAAUAUGCACAGAAGAAACUACAACAACCGUCGCAACAACUGUAACAACACCUGCCCAAACAAUCACAACCACUAGACCAACCCAGCCAGGUGCAACUUCCCAAUCAUCGAAUGCUACUGCGGCACCAACAACUACUGCGGCACCAACAACUACUGGCGGCAACAACAACUACUACGACAACAACAACUACUACGGCAACAACAAUUACUACGACACCUACAACUACUACGACAAUAAUAACUACUACGGCGACAACGACUAAUACGACACCUACAACUACUCCUCCACUUAGCAACGCAAAACGAAGAAAACGCAAUGCAGGCCAACAGUGUGUUUCAAAAGCAAGUUGUGUAUCAGGAAAACAGACAACACUGGUAUGCGCGUGUAAUAAUGGCUUUACUGCAGAUAAUGGAAAGUGCAACAAAGAUCCUGACAAUGGCGCGGGACAUUUGGGAGUGACGGAAUUUUUCACUGUCAUGUUAACGACAGUGCUGCUGUUACUCAUCUAGAAAACCCUUCAGUUCUGCAGUGGUCCAUUGCCUUGUCGGUAUCAUUGAAUUCCGUUUGUAAAUAACUCUAUAUCUAUAAGAUUUGUCAUGGAACAAAUAUUUUGUAAAUACUUAAAUCAAAACCAGUCGUGCACAGUAGACCACAUUUAGUUUGUAUCUGCAUAUCCCUUUGAAAGUUCAUUUAUCAAUACAGAAAAUAUAUAUUCAAACGCUAAAAAAGUACAAAAGAAACAAAACUUUCACAAACUUACGAUUUCACAAACAGAUAGCAGACUCUUCGAGCGUUGUGAUUUGCAUAUUAUUGAUGCGUGAUCUGGCUUUGAAAGUGCGUGUGCCCCGUGCCUACAGAAUGUCACCGAGAGUGUACAUGUAUGUGAGUUCCGGUUAUCUGCGCAUGCCUGAUGAAGCCGUUGUGCCGACCAACUGGCAAUGCCAGGUCAACCAGAACAGUGUUGUUUCUUGUAGGCACUUGAGCGCCACUUUGGUCGGAUUAUAGUUAACAAAACAAAUAGACAUACAUAUUAAAUAUUGUUGUUGUGGCUGCCUAAUACCGAACCUUUAUAUUACACAUUCUUCACGAAAUCUGCUAUGCCUAUAUUAAUGAGCACUAUCACACAAAUAUUGCAUACGAAUAUUAUUCGUAUACGGCGAUUUUGACAACACUCAAUGCAAAACAAAUUCAUUCGCAUUCAGUUUCUUUCUGAAAAAAAAACUGUGGUUAGGUUACAGUAUUCGAAUAAAUUCCCAUAAGCAAUGAAAUACUAUCUUAAACAAAUAAUGUUCAUGUAUUGUUCGUUUGGAAAUAUUAUGUUUUAAGUAAAGGACUCUUCUAAUAAUAUUCUUUAUUUUUUGACAUGAGUGCAGUGAGAGCAUACUGUUUACUAAUACAUCGAUAUUUUUAAAAGAGCAAAUCUCAGUUUGAAACACUUGCAAAACUAUAAAGUAGCUGGAAAAAUGUUGAACAAGAACAGUAAUCUUUGCGAAAAAAAAGAAGGGUUUUUUUCAAAUCGGAUGACACACUUUUUUUAUUUCUCAGAUGCAGUGCGGUUAGAAUGCUUUAAAACAGGCGCAGUCAUGGUGUCCCCACAUGCAAAAUGUCAAUUAUAUGUUUUUUUAACUUAAGUAUUAGGUUUUACAAUGAAUUAAAUAACACUUGGAAUAAGUACAGUGUGAUCUGUAUCAUGGUUUCAUUGUUACCUAUCAUAAAAUUAAUUAGAUAACACUUGGAAUAAGUACAUUGUGAUCUUUAUCAUGGUUUCAUUGUUACCUAUCAUACAAUGAAUUAAAUAACACUUGGAAUAAGUACAUUGUGAUCUUUAUCGUGGUUUAAUUGUUACCUAUCAUACAAUGAAUUAGAUAACACUUGGAAUAAGUACAUUGUGAUCUUUAUCAUGGUUUCAUUGUUACCUAUCAUAUAAUGAAUUAGAUAACUUGGGAUAAGUACAGUGUGAUCAUUAUCAUGGUUUCAUUGUUACCUAUCAUACAAUGAAUUAGAUAACACUUGGAAUAAGUACAUUGUGAUCUUAAUCAUGGUUUCAUUGUUACCUAUCAUGCAAUGAAUUAGAUAACACUUGGAAUAAGUACAUUGUGAUCUUAAUCAUGGUUUCAUUGUUACCUAUCAUACAAUGAAUUAGAUAACACUUGGAAUAGGUAUAUUGUUAUCUUUAUCAUGGUUUCAUUGUUACCUAUCAUAUCCUUAUCUAGCGUGAAGCACACAUCCAAUAAACGUUUAUUGACCUUUGUCAUCUUAAUGUUUUUUAUUGUUCGACAUGUUUGACAAUUCUGUUCUGAAAACAUUCGCACAGUUUUAUAUUUGUUCGUGGCACCUUCAUUAAUUCGUUUCUAAAGACGUAAAUUUUGAUGUACAUUAAGCUCAUUUUUAGUCUAAACAGGCCCUUAAACAAACGCUUUUUUUUCAAACAACUACAUAGCCCAUACCUUUAUGUUUGGUAUAAUUUUUGUUACAAACAUGUGAAGAAAUGCUGCAAUCACGCAGACACAUGUUCACGAUGAACUUUUAAUCAGCAUUAUAAUAUUGAUAUAGAAAAGGAAACAAAAACAACAAUGUUGAUAACGGAUAAGUAAAAUGGGAAUACGUAAAAAAGUGCAAGCAUUACGCAGCUAUUUCCAAUAUUUUUUCGAAUAACAUUUUGGUGUAGGUCGUUAAACGUGUGUAUUCAAAGUUACCUUCAGACUUUUUCGCUACCUGAACACUUAUUGUUGUAAAACAUUACAAUAAAAUCAAUAGUCUCAAUGACAUUGGCAAGCCGAUUAACAUUCUUCAUAUUCAACGAAACAACGACUUUGCCAUGACGUGGGGGUUGCAUAAAAAAAGAGGCAAAUGUCACUUGUACAUGUACAUGUUGUUACAUAAUAUUAAUGAACAUGUAUCUCUUUGUAUGUUUGGUAAACGUUGACCAUAUGUUUAUCAUGUGCCCCCAAAUGGCAUGUUUGCAUAUAUAUAAUCAUUAUUAAAAUGUUAACAAAUAUAAAUGAUAUUUAUAAGGACGCCUACAGAUAUGUUAACCAUUCGUUUGAGCAGCAAUCGCAUAAAAUGUUUAUGAUUUUACAUAAAAACUUUCGCAUUGGCGCAAUGUAAUUUUUGUGUCAAUUUGCACGAAUGACAUCAACAAGUAUCCACCAACUAUAUAAAACAAUUAAAUACGAUUGAAUGGGCAAAUUUACUGUUUGUACAGGCUGCGUCUAUAUACAACUUGAUAGAAAACACACGGUUGAGUUGCACCGAGAAGCAAAAGGACCAUGCGAUAUAGGACCAUUUGUUGUGUAGGAAUUAGUCACACUGGCAAAACCAAUAUAUUCCUAAAUAAAUCGUAUACCAAAAUAUAUAUCUUAAAUGUAGUGGUACGUACAGUUAAUAUAUGUGUCCGAUUAUCAUGUUCACUGCUAACGCCCGCCCUGUGUCAUAGUUUGCACGUUGUCUACUAAGAGAGACGUUUAACGCGAAUUUAGUGAUAUUUUUGAUACGGGCACAAAUAUACAAUAUUACAAGCAUAAAACGCAGCUUCAUAUUGUCGACAAGACCACUAUUGUGGUAAUGCUAUGUUGAUCUCCGGCAGUACCUCAAAGUCUACAUGUUUCUCAUGAUAAUGCAUAAAUGCAUUAUACAUACCAUAGUUGUUUGAAUGCCUCAUUGAAAAUAAGAUUGCCAUUGUUAAAUUGUUUGCAUGACUUUGUAUCAAUGUCGUUGUCUUAAUGAGUUACCUUCAGAAAAUAAAGAGAUUAUUAUUA